rnacentral:tRNA from 1 species
GGCUCUGGGGUGUCACACGUGGGCUUGCAAAUCCCAAAACGCAGCUAAUUCCUGCCGGGGCU